ACGACAUCACCUUCCUAACACCUAGCGGCGCUCGCUCUACGGCCGGAACCUUGUUGCUAGGGCCGGGGCGGUUUGCGGCAGCUUCAGUCGCUGCGGAGUUUGAAUCCCGGAGGCGAGGGAAAAGUUUUGCUCAGAAUCGCGGGUUUCCCCGGUCUACCCAGACGGGAAGUGACAGCACUUGGGUUGAACUUCAGCUGGACAGAGAAGGAGGCGAGAAAUUCCGCUCUCAGGAAAGCAGCAUGAGUAAUCUCCGCACCGUGCCAGGCUCACUUCCUCAUCUGCGCCUAGCUCACCUGCUGUCACCUUGCCUACCCCGCCCUACAGGGUCCCAGGGUGGCCAGGCUCGUGGGCAUUGCGACUUGCAUAAACAACCCUGGGGAGCAGGCCUGGAAUCCUGUAAUCUGAAACGUCCAGAGCGUGAGGCAGGAGGAUGGCCGAGAGUUCAAGGCCAGACUGCCCGACAGUGGGACCCUGCCUCAAAAUAACUACAGCCUCACACACGUCUGAGCUGUAUAAUGACCUCAAGGCUAAAAACAAGGCUGACUAGUGUUCGCUGAGGCUGAUUUUUAUCUUAAGCCCUUGACUUUAUACAAGACCUAAAUACUUUUGUACCCGUCUUCAGUAAUUAGGAUUUAAAUUUACCUCUCUCUCUUUCAAAGGAGGAAUUGUAUGGGACAACUUUAUGAGAUAAAUGAACUAAGCCAUUAUUUUAGAUAUGUAGUUAUUGUUAUUGUAUAAAGGUGAGACUUAUGGAUAGAAAUAACAAACAUCCCAUCCCAUGGAGUAUAAGAAAUAAUUCUCCCUCCCCCCCCUCCCCCCAAGAAGAAACCAGCACAGAGCAAGUCCACGAAGGCUCCUUGGUAAGGUUUGCCUACUGAUUUUGCCAUGCCUUAGGCAGGAUAUUUUAUUGUGUAACUAGUCAUGGUGACAUACACUAGCAGACUUUGCUUGUGGGAGGAGGAGGCAGGAAGGUCAUGACUCUCAGGCCAACUACAUAGUGAGACUCUGCCCCCCCAAAAAAAUCCUCCAGCCCUCAAAUGUUAAAAGAGUUAUUAAACCGAAGUAAGUGUACAGCCGAAGUCCAGUAAUGGAAAGGUGCUGGCUGUAGAUGAACACCCCCCACCCCCGCUGCGUCUGAAUAAUGGGACUGCACAUGUUCUUUGCACAUCAGAUCUGCAAUCACUGCAAAACUAGACUUCUUGGUCCUUGUGCAUACUGGCAGUGCUUCUUUUCCUCAGUACCAUGUUAGCUGGAACACAUUUGUGUCAGAAUGGCACCCUUGGGUUAGUGGCCUUGGAUCACCUGUAACUCAGCCCUUGAGCUUGGGAGCCCCAUUCCUUAGCAUCCUGAGUAGCUAGCUGGAAUCUCAAGAAUGAGCCAUGGCCUGGCCUCAUUGCUUUCUCAAUCAGAUCAUAGACUUUUGUCUUUUACCAGAAAUUGUCUAGUUUCCACUUUCUACAGCCACCCUUGUUUCCAGCCUCCCUUAAACUUGGGAGGUGUCACCCAUCCAGCCCUUUUCCUCUGCUCUUCCUCAGGGUCACAGUCACAGGCACACGAAAACGGCACAAGAUACUUUGUUCCUUCAGUGGCUACUGACUUAGUGUGUGGGGCUGUUACUAACUCUGGGGACAUCAGAUGAUAAGACUUGCUAUUUCUGUGUCCUCAAUACUAGCAGAGUACCCAACUGCUUAGUACCUGUUGAGUAAAUAUUUCUGAAAUAAGUUUUAUCUAAACUUUCUAAGCCUGUUCUCCUCAAUGAAGUGAAGGGUGUCUGUCUUUAUCACAUUCUUAGGAACAGUUGAGGCUGAGUGUGAAAAGUAUUGCCAUUCAUGUCCAUGCUAAUCUUGAUCUUAAUCUCUCUCUUAUCUUUUUCCUUUUCCCUAAAUAAUUACUUCUGCUAAGUUCUAUUUUUAAAAUGUGCACAGGAAAUAUUGGUAAGCCAAAUUUAAUACAAAGUUUAACUUUUACAAAAGCCUCUGAUAACUUACAAAUUAAAUGUUUGACUUUAUUUAUAGUUCCAUAAUGUUAUUGAAGAUACUUAAAAUCUAUACUAGAAAGAGCAGACAGAAGUCUCAGAAUAUAAAGUAUUGUUUUAAAUCUGAUUCUUGUCUGAUAGUUAUAUUUUAACCAAAGCACAGGGCGGGGGGAAUCUUUGGAACCAACUUAUGAAGGAAGUACCUAUUAAGAUUUAGAUUAAAUCCAGCUUUUGGGAGAUGGAGGAAGGAGAAUCAGAAGUUCAAGGUUAUUCUAGGCUAUAUACUGAGUUCCCGGUCUGCAUGGGCUGCAGGAAACCUGUCUCAAAUUAACAAGAGUUUAGAUAAAGGGGGUAAGGAGACAUGCUUCAUGUCUUCUUCGCAGUGACUGACACAUCACAGAACAUGCCUUCAGUGUGUGCUUUGCUCAUGUGUUAGUGAAAUGUUAAUACUGCUUUGAACACUAGGAUUGUAUAUGUUGAACAAGAAAUACUGUAAAAACUUGUAUACUUUUACCCAAUCUUGAAAUGCCAAGCUUAUUCAAAAGACAAUAAAUAAAAAGAAAUACUAUAAAAAGUGGA